UACGUAGGGUGCGAGCGUUAAUCGGAAUUACUGGGCGUAAAGCGUGCGCAGGCGGUUUUGUAAGCCAGAUGUGAAAUCCCCGGGCUCAACCUGGGAACUGCAUUUGUGACUGCAAGGCUAGAGUACGGUAGAGGGGGAUGGAAUUCCGCGUGUAGCAGUGAAAUGCGUAGAUAUGCGGAGGAACACCGAUGGCGAAGGCAAUCCCCUGGACCUGUACUGACGCUCAUGCACGAAAGCGUGGGGAGCAAACAGG
rnacentral:rRNA from 1 species